UACAGAGGUGGCAAGCGUUGUUCGGAAUUACUGGGCGUAAAGGGCGCGUAGGCGGUCUUUUAAGUCUUGUGUGAAAUCCCACGGCUCACCCGUGGAACUGCUUGGUAUACUGGGUGUCUUGAGCCACUUAGGGCUACCGGGAACAAAUGGUGGAGCGGUGAAAUGCGUAGAUAUCAUUUGGAACGCCAAUGGUGAAAAACAGGGUAGCUGGGAGUGUGCUGACGCUGAGACACGAAAGCCAGGGGAGCAAACGGGG
rnacentral:rRNA from 1 species